rnacentral:rRNA from 1 species
GAACCGUCCAAACGUUAUUCGGAAUUACUGGGCUUAAAGGGUAUGUAGGCGGCGCUGUUAGUCGGGUGUGAAAGCCCUCGGCUCAACCGAGGAAUUGCGCCCGAUACUGCAGUGCUUGAGGGAGACAGAGGUAAGCGGAACUGAUGGUGGAGCGGUGAAAUGCGUUGAUAUCAUCAGGAACACCGGUGGCGAAAGCGGCUUACUGGGUCUCUUCUGACGCUGAGAUACGAAAGCUAGGGGAGCGAAGGGGAUUAGAUACCCCCGUAGUCCUAGCUGUAAACGUUGAGCACUUGAUCGGGGACCCCCCCAUAGGUUCUCGGUCGUAGCGAAAGUGUUAAGUGCUCCGCCUGGGGAGUAUGGUCGCAAGGCUGAA